ACGAACGCUGGCGGCGUGCCUAAUCCAUGCAAGUCGCACGCUUCUUUCCUCCCGAGUGCUUGCACUCAAUUGGAAAGAGGCGUGGCGGACGGGUGAGUAACACGUGGGUAACCUACCCAUCAGAGGGGGAUAACACUUGGAAACAGGUGCUAAUACCGCAUAACAGUUUAUGCCGCAUGGCAUAAGAGUGAAAGGCGCUUUCGGGUGUCGCUGAUGGAUGGACCCGCGGUGCAUUAGCUAGUUGGUGAGGUAACGGCUCACCAAGGCCACGAUGCAUAGCCGACCUGAGAGGGUGAUCGGCCACACUGGGACUGAGACACGGCCCAGACUCCUACGGGAGGCAGCAGUAGGGAAUCUUCGGCAAUGGACGAAAGUCUGACCGAGCAACGCCGCGUGAGUGAAGAAGGUUUUCGGAUCGUAAAACUCUGUUGUUAGAGAAGAACAAGGACGUUAGUAACUGAACGUCCCCUGACGGUAUCUAACCAGAAAGCCACGGCUAACUACGUG
rnacentral:rRNA from 1 species